GACUGAUUGUCAUUUCCCAAGCGAUAGGGGAAGCAGGAGCCAGGUACGUUAAGGGGGUGCCUUAACGCUCUGGUCCGCUGCCUUUCGCAAUCCAUUUUGGGUUGGUGUGUCGCUCAGGAGGUGGGGUUCGAACUCUUCAGCCCAGGAGAGGGGGAAGUUUUACCACCACAACAGCCCUCACAAGAGCUGCAGAAAACUUGAAUUCCAGGUUCAUUGCCUUAGCAGCAUAAUAUGCUCUAUAGAAAGGGCUCUUAAUGCAGGAAAUGGCUUCUGAAAGGUGACCAUCUUCACCUUUGUAUUCGCUUUUGUGGCAUAUGUGGUGAUGACUAUCUGACAACUGCUUGAAAUUCUACAGCAAAAAGUUGGAAGAAAUUUUACCUUUUGCUGUCUUAAUCUAUAUUCUUCUAAUAUCUUUUAAUUAAAAUGUGUUUUUCUAGGAUAUAUUUUCAAUAGGUUUUUUCCUAUAUAUUAACUGAGGUUCAAGACAAAAUACAAAGCAGAUAUUGAAGGUUCAUAAUUUAGAACAAGUGCUUUCCUAUAAUACAAAUAAUACAGAAGAAGGAAAUUCUGUUCCUUAUGUAUAUAGCAUGUCUAUGCGUAAGUUGUUUUAAAAAUUAACCAGAAAUAGCUCAGGUUAUGAUAUUUCAAGAAAACACAGUUUGCAUUUUAUUUGCAUUGUUUUUCAACAAACAUGGAAGUUUAACAUUUGUUUUUACAAAGGCCAUUAAAUCUCAGUAUUUCUAAUGUGCAACCUUACAGUAAUUGCCACUUCACUUUAUUUUAAAAUUACUUACAAUAAGACAUACUUACAAUGACAUAUUCUAGAUUUUGAUUAUAGUUUCCUUCUCUUGCUUCCAAGGCAUGACAGAUUUACUGUUUCUUUCAUCUGAUUUAAUCAUGCAUGAUACAGUAAAACUGGUGUAAAAUCUACAUAAAAAUAUAGUGUCAAAACCUGGGAGACAGAUAAUACUUAAAUGCAGCAAGGAUUUCCCCAACACUUGCAAUAUCAGUUACAUUUUCUUGCUUCACUUCCCUUAAGGUUCAUUCCAUUUCAGAUUUCAGCUUCAUGAAAUAAAUGGAUCUCUGGACUAGCUCUCAUACAAUCAGCCUUUCAGAGGUUAAUUCUGAUCUGGUUUACACCUGUAUACCACAGUUUUCAGUACAGAGUCAGGGAGAAAUCUGGCCAGAAAUUCAGGUUUAGUCCAUGUAGGUUUUUUCCUACAUUUUCUGGUAUUGUAUACUGAGUCAUUCUGAAAUAACAAAGUUUGCAUUUUGAAUUCAUUAUUUCUCUGGCUCUUACUCAAAGAAUUCCGUUGGAUUACUCCCCAGCCUUCUAGUACCUUUGGUCAGAACCACAGUGCAUGUACUUUUAAGUACUGAUUUCCUUUGUGUAUGGAAUGAUUUUCAAAUAGAAAAAUUAAAUAUGGUAGAGACUAUAUGAGGAAUAUACUAAUUUAAUUGGGUCCACUCAUGUUUUGCGAAUUCCAGGUGGACUAAAUGGGAGAUUAAGGUCACUAUCCAUGGACUGGGGAAGAAAGGCAGUGAUGAGGGGUGCGUGUUUGUGAGUAGCUGCCAGACCUCUAGUGGACACAAUGGAGAAAUGCCUAUGGCAACACAUGACCACCACUUGGGGGAUCCUUAUGUACUGCCAGGGUAAAGGCUUCCGAGAAGUCUUUCAAAAGCUUAUCUAUUAUUUCUGCAAAAAUAUAUGUUCCAUCACUCAGUGUAGUUUUUGAUAAAGUGCAGGGGUCCCAGAAAAUCAGUUAACAUUGCCUUGAUUUUUCAACUGAUUUCAAAAUCCUAAUUGCUGUUCUAACUAUUAACAGAUACACUGGGACAUCCCCCCAUAUUGGGGGAUGAGAGGCUGGAGAGCAGCCCUGCAGAAAGAAAUGUGGGGGUUUGGGUAGAUGGCAAGUUGAGUAUUAGUCAGCAGUGUGCCCACUGGCAGACAAAAGGCCCAACGGUGCCCUGGAGUGCAUCAAGCACAGCAGCAUAGCCAGGCAGUCAAGGGAGGUGACUGUCCCCUCUACACUACACUGGUACGGCCCCUCCUCAAAUCGUGUACAGAUGUAGGUGCCUCAAUAUAAGAAGGACAUCAAACUGUUAAGAGUGUGUUCAGAGGAGGGUGACCAAGAUGGUGAAAGACCUCAAGGGUCAGUUUUAUAAGGAAUGGCUGAGGUCACUUGCCUUCUUCAGCGUGAAAAAGUGUGAGUGAUCCC